UACGGAGGGUGCAAGCGUUAUCCGGAUUCACUGGGGUUAAAGGGUGCGUAGGUGGUUUUGUAAGUCAGUGGUGAAAGCCCGGAGCUCAACUCCGGAACUGCCAUUGAUACUGCUUAACUUGAAUCAACUUGAGGUGGAUGGAAUAUUACAUGUAGCGGUGAAAUGCUUAGAGAUGUAAUAGAACACCAAUUGCGAAGGCAGUUCACUAAGGUUGUAUUGACACUGAGGCACGAAAGCGUGGGGAUCAAACAGG
rnacentral:rRNA from 1 species